CAAAGAUGUCAACUUAUUGGCUUUACCUGUCGCUAUGGAUUUGCCUAUUUUUUAAGAUGUUCGUGUUAAGUAAAGUGGGAACGGCUGUAAAGAAACCUUUACGUUGUGCUGCUGAAGAAACUGACGGAUGUCGGCCUUGCUUUGAGCCCUCAUGUUCCCAAUUACUAUACGAUGGUGAACCAUGCCCAACAAAAUGUGAGCUGGCUUGUUUCUGUUUAAAAAUUUAUGUUCGUAAGGCGAGAAAUUGUGUGCCUAUAGAAAAAUGUUGCGUUGGUAACAUGUGCUUAUCCAAUAAGGAGCAAGUUGUUAAGGCGAAAGCUUUAUCUUUAAAUAAACCGUGAUUAUAAACUA